ensembl:lncRNA novel transcript
AGAAACAACAGGAACCACCACCAAACGAAACAUAAACCCUUUGUAGGAAAUAUAUAUAGUUUAAAUUUUUACCUUUUUUAAGGUUUAUAGCUGGGCCCAAAGUUUCUAAAAGGUCUAUUCAGCCUCUGUGAGAAGCAACUGGGGUUAUUUUCGGAGAUGUAACCCAUGGGUAUUGAUAUACACCACGGCAUUCCUUGGUAGCCAAGCAUAGGGCUAAGAUGAGAACUAUUUGGCUACUUCUUAAUAUUUAAGUGGAUGAGCAGCAAACAUCUUUCUCCGUCUUCCUGAGCUCCAUUCUGCAAUUGCAGUGCAGCAGGACGACAGUGCAUUUACUGUGGCAUGCUGUUGGCCCCAUGCACUUCCCCCUUUCCCCCAUAGAUCUCGGCAGUGCCUUCUGCUUUGGUCCUGACAGGUAUAUUCUGCUUUGUCAGAAUCUCUUAUGUGAUCUUGGACAAGGGUUCUGCAGGAUAUACACGAAGUAUGGCACCAACAUCUGCUUCUGGUGAAGGCUUCAUGAAGCUUCCACCCAUGACAGAAGGCGAAGAACUGUUGCCAGCAUCAUGCUACAAGCCUGAAGGGAAGGUCUACUGACAGAGAAGGACAGAGACCAGGGAAACACAGAAAAGGAGAGACAAAGCCUUGACAUACCAAACCAGUGCCUGGCCUACCUAUGGACUUCUCAGUGUACGUAUUUAUGGAGUACAUGAGAUGUUCAGAUACAGGCAUGCAAUGCAUAGUAAUCACAUCCAGGUAUGAUGAUUAAUACUGAGUGUCAACUUGAUUGGAUUGAAGGAUGCAAAGUAUUGAUCCUGGGUGUGUCUGUAACAGUGUUGCCAAAGGAGAUUAACAUUUGAGUCAGUGGGCUGGAGAAGAAAGACCCACUCUUAAUCUGGUGGGCACAAUCUAAUCAGCUGCCAGCACAGCUGGAAUACAAAGCAGGCAGAAAAAUGUGAAAAGGUGAGACUGGCCUAGCCUCCCAGCCUAUAUCUAUCUCCCGUGCUGGAUGCUUCCUGCCCUCAAACAUCAGACUCCAAGUUCUUCAGUUUUGAGACUCAGACUGGUUCUCCUUGCUCCUCAAGCUUGCAGACAGCCUAUUGUGGGACCUCGUGAUCAUAUUCCUUCAAUUAGAGUGCCUCUGAAAGACAGGGUGUAUUCCAGCUGGCAUUGGGACAACCUAAAGUUUAAACCUUUGGGUGAAAAAGUGCCAACUUGGGAGACAUAUUAUCAAGACUGAAUCAGAGAGUUGACAGCAUACCAGGAAGUGUCACUGUAUAGUUUGGAAGAUGGAAAUCAUACUACUUUUUUCCCAUGUAAGCACUCCAGGAAAUUAACCUCCAAAUACAACUGAGGAAUAGGCACCGUUAUGGCUUUUUUACAGAUCAAUAAACUGAUGAAAUACGGUGAAGCUAUGUAAGUAGACCAAAGAUGUACAAGAAGACACACAUUGAGCAGAAAAUAAAUUUAAGCCUGGCUUCUCAACUCUUUAUUUAACCAGAGACGGUUCUAUCUCAAACAUGAGGUUCUAUAUGAAAGCAGGAGGGAAUUAGGAAGUAAAAUCUGGUGAGCAUUUUUCCUGAAAUAUUACAGCUGUCAUUCUCAGGGCCCUCGUCCUGAGAUAGUGGCAGGUUAAGAUAUUAAAUUUUUAUUUCUCUGGGAACUCUUCAUGGACUAUUGCCAUAUCAAUGACAAUGCAGACAGAAGUGCAGGUGAUUUUAAAGAACAGACUGCUUGACGUACCCUGUGUCUAGUACAGCUACACCCUAGAGCAGUUAGCAGUGCUUAUCUGAAUUCUUUGUUAUUUGUCAAAAAGAUUAUUGUUUUCUGACACAAUCUUUCUUUUCUAAGAAAAAAAAAAAAGCAGUGGUACAUAUUCUAACUAUGCUUUAGAAUCCCAGCUUCUGUCCUAAAGAUAAAAAUUUCAAGAUGACUCCAAAAGGAAAAAAAGUGAUAUGGAUAUAAGUCAAGUGUUUUUAAGCUUUAAAACCAUGAUAUCCUAUUUCUCUUUCUCUAUUUUUUCUUUUAAUGCAUUAAGCAUAAUCUCAUACAACCAGGAAUGUAAACCGUGACCAGUUUACCAAGAAAGGCUAAACUCAAAAGAACAUAUAAUGAUAUGUUUGUCUUUCCUUUAUUGUCUUUGCAUUUAAUUUUCAUAUAUAUCCAUAUUUGUGCAGUGACUUUGAAUUUGUCUCCUGGAGGCAGAUGCUCAUGCAGGUUUAACUACUGAAAACUAUAGAUGGAAAUGUUGAUGACUAGGAGAGAAUACACUGGGCAAUGUGGACAGGGCCAGAAUAUUUUGCAUGAGCGGGAAGCAGGAUUCUGUCAUCAAAGGAAACCAGUGUGCACUGUUGUUUGGUGAGGAAACUAGCACAUAGAUAAGAAACUCUUUUGAUUACCUCCGCUAUAUAUCUAAAGGAUGUUAUUCCCAAUGGAUUGCUCUAAGGGCUUUUCACUGUAGUUUUAAUAAUGGCCAUGCCAACAUUGUAUCUUUUAAGAAUAUUGAAAGAGACCAAUUUGGGAGACUGUGACCAGUAUGAGUGUUCACUUCACCAAACUAUCUCUGCUAAACUCUGAGGAUCUGGAGGUUGGGGGAUGAAAUGCUCUGAAGAUGAUACUGGAGGCAAAUAUUUUCCUUGUUACUCUUCUUUUCUCUCAGCAAAGUGACUAUAAGGUGUUUUAGUCCAUUAAAUUAACUGAAUAGCCGGGGGCAGUGGCUCAUGCCUAUAAUCCCAGCACUUUGGGAGACAAAGGCAGGCGGAUCACCUAAGGUCAGGAGUUUGAGACCAGCCUGACCAACAUGGUGAAACCCUGUCUUUACUAAAAAUACAAAAUUAGCUGGGCGUGGUGGCGCAUGCCUGUAAUCCUAGCUACUCUGGAGGCUGAGGCAUGAGAAUCCGUGGAACCUGGCAGGCGGAGGUUGCAGUGAGCCAAGAUCGUGCCAUUGCACUCUGGCCUGGGCAACAAGAGUGAAACUCCACAUCAAAAAAUAAAUAAAUAAAUAAAUAAAUAAAUAAAUAA